UACGCUGGCGGCACGCCUAACACAUGCAAGUCGAACGAAGUAGCAAUACUUAGUGGCAGACGGGUGAGUAACAUGUAGGUAUCUGCCCUUUGGCCUGGAAUAACACGAGGAAACUUGUGCUAAUACUGGAUAAGUCUUCACAGAGAAAGCUUUAUGCACCAUUGGAUGAGCCUGCACUUGAUUAGUUUGUUGGUAGGGUAAUGGCCUACCAAGACUGUGAUCAAUAGCUGAUUUGAGAGGAUGAUCAGCCACAUUGGGACUGAGACACGGCCCAAACUCCUACGGGAGGCAGCAGUGGGGAAUCUUGCACAAUGGAGGAAACUCUGAUGCAGCGAUGCCGCGUGAGUGAAGAAGGCCCUUGGGUUGUAAAGCUCUUUCGUCGGGGAAGAAAAUGACUGUACCCGAAUAAGAAGGUCCGGC
rnacentral:rRNA from 1 species